rnacentral:lncRNA from 1 species
UUAGUUGAUAGCGCUAUUUAGGUGUUUACCAGCCUCACACCGUGCCCUGGUUUGGGACGGUCGUGAACUAAUGUACUCAGAAAUCCGUCAAUGAUGAUAGAACAUUGACAUCGGGGCAUCCUGCGGAUACGCAACGGUUACCUAGUGUUCGGUAUUGGAAACAACAGUUUAGUCGCUAACUUUUGGGGUAGCUCCCCAGGGCAUGUAUAAACGGAUAAAUUAACCGGUGAAACAAAGUUUUUGGUAAUUAAAACUGGACAACUAGUGAACUCACUCAGCAUUAUUGUUGACCCCUUACUGCAUGCUUUGCAGGUAAUCAGUGACGAAGGAGCUUGCAGCUUGGGAACGUGUAGUGUCUGUUCACCCUUGUGUUGGGUGUUACCUUAUUUUGAAUCAUGAACUUUGCUUUAAACUACCGUACUUAUGCUUCCGCUACUUAAUACUGUUUUGGAACUUAAAACUUUAAACUCUGAACUUAAUAUUUGCUAAGCUUAUGAAUAGUA